AAUGCUUUGUAACAUUCUAGAAGCCCCUAUUUGUUUUGGUCAUGGUUCUAUGACGUACUCAGCAAUAGCUGCUCACUAGGUCUCACUCUCUAGACAGGUUUACCGUGGAGCUCUCAUUUUAGUCCUGAAAUUCGUAGUUCUGCAUUCUGUCUCUACAACACCUGUGUUUCUUUCGCUUCCUUCUGCAACUAGAUUUAUAUCUUUUGUUCAGUUUGCCGGUUCCUCUGUUUCAAGCGGAGGCCUUCCGACUGAGACCCUCUCUUGUUAGGGUUUCUUCUAUUAAGCCGUUGAGCCGAGUCUCCAGGAGUUUCAGAGGCCUUGUGGUCAAGGCAGCCACGGUUGUGGCCUCAAAGAUUGGAAAAAGCUUCUCAAGUAGAUCUUCAAACCAACGGACUAAAUGCACAUGAUGCUCUCGAGAGAGCAUAACACAUGACUUGCUUUUAAAUAUGCAUCAUUUAAAUACGCGCUAUUCUCAUUUACUGUCUGAAGCCCUAAACCCAUCGAUGUGCCCUCUCUCUUCUGAGUCCUAGACUUUUCCAGUUGGACCAUAUUGUGGUUGGCAGCAUAAUAGUUGAUAAAAGACUGGUAUGAUGGAUGGAUGGUGUUGGAGAGAUGUGUGGCCUUUCAAGACAUGAAAGGAUCCAGAGAGCCAGGGCCAGCUCUCAGGGGAAUAACGCUGGGCAAGGGCCGGAGUUGACCCAACUUGGUGCCAGACCUUGUUCCUUGUUAGGGUUUACACUAAAGCAUUGGCGGUAUUGGAAAAUAGGUAUGUUGUAAAUACUCUCAAUCAGUGCAUAUUUGACAAUAUUUUUGUUAACAUGAAAAUAGUAUCUCAUCACUCAACUGUAUAAUAUUAUAUUAUAAAGAUGUGUAAAAUAUAAACUUAAUUCGGAAAAAUAUAUAUAGAAUUCUAGAAAAAUUGAUAGGAAGAUAUGUGGAUAUAGAAAAAUCUGUAGAGAUUGACCGAUUAAAGAGAUAUAUGAGAGUAACUCGCUUAUGAAAAGUUUUUAAUGAUGCCAUAUAGUUUUUACUAAGAGGGAGCAACUCUCAAAUACCAAGAAUAGACGUAGGGUCUCAUAUAUGCUUUGAGAGGAAAGUGCUGGCAUUGACAAAUUUUUUAAUAGUCUAAAGUAGAUAACUAAAUGUCUUUAUUUUAAAAUUCAUUGACACCUAAUCUGAUUCAGACAUUCUUUAGUAUAUAAAAUUCUUUUAUGAAAAUAGAAUAACGAAAUCUUAAAAGAGAAUAAAGAAGAUCAUAAGAGUUAGGGAAGGGAGUUCUUCACCUCUGUCUUUAAGGUGGCUAAUUCUCAAGCUAUACUCUCCCUAAUGUACUGUCUGUUUUGCUUGCAUUUUUUCUUGUGUUUUAUGCUUAGGAUUGUGAGUUUUUUUGGGAUGCUAAUAUGAAAUACUUUUUGAGAUUUGUUUUAGUGACUAGGCUACGAUUAUUUAUUCAAAGUCAAUUUGAUAUUAAUUUGUUUAAAUUUGUAUCAUUUUGAUUGUAAUUUAAAUCAAUUUGAUAUCAAUUUGUAUCGAUUUGAUAUCAAUUUGUAUCAAUUUGCAUCCAGUGUUUCAAAAAAAGCUAGGUGGCUCCUAAGCGGCCAGGGGGCUCCAGGUCACCCAGCUCCUAGGCAGUCGCUCAGAACCUGGGUGACCCUCUAGAAAGAAAAAUGUCCAGUAUGUUACAUAUUCCUAUCCGAUUAUCCAUAUUCCACACUCCAUACAUGGUUAAGACUUCAAGUUUACAAACCAAAGUUACCAAACCAAACCAGUGAACCACAAAUCCACAAUACACAACCAAGAUGAGGAAAGUAAAAAUGAAAGAAUUAUAGUAUAUAGACUUGAAGACUCGAAAGAAUCUUCAAUCAUCAUUCACCACUCAUCAUGAGAAGAAGUAGGGUCAGCUGCAUUUGCAUCAUAUGCAUCGGAAUCCAAGUCAUCAUCAUCGGAAUGAUGUCCCUUCUCGACAUAAUGGUUGUCCUCCUCUAUCUCUUCUGAAUCUGUCUUUGCUUCUUCCUUUUCCUCCACCCUUGUCCUCUGGGAAGAAGAUCUAGUGGUCCUAUUAGGGUCGGCUGAUGUACCUGAGGCCUCCAUGACCAUAUCCCAUAUCAAUCCUUCAUGUCCCUUGACCUGAUCAUCAUCAACCAACCUCUUCGUAGAAUUGUCCAUAUUUUUCGAUAUGAGGGAGUCUCUGGCAUCUCUCUCGGCAAACUUGUCCGUUUCAAGUAUCGAUUAUACUUGACAUAAACUAGAUCAUUGAGCCUCCUGGAUUCAAGCAUGUUCCUUUUCUUUGUAUGAAUCUAACAAAAUCAAAUGAAAUUAAUUAAUAUAAAUAAUUAAAUACAUAAUAGUAAUGCAUGACAUAGAAUACUAAAGUACUGAAUUACUCGUAUUGUAAUGCAAAUUACCAUCUCAAAAGUACUCAAAUUUUGCUCACAGCCGGACGAGGUAGUGGUUAGGCUUAAGAUCCCAAUGACCAAUCUUUGUAAAUUUGGAGCACUACACGCAUGUUGGCUUCACCAAUUGGCUGCAAAAAUGCAAAUUGAUUUUGAAUUACAAAUUUACAAUUGUUAAUUAUAUAUAAAAUAUUAAGAGUUAAGACAUGGAAUACUUUUUGUUGAGAGAAAUUUAACAUUGUAUUACUGGGGUUUUGUGUACAAGAAUUUGUAAGUCCGAGUUCACUUGCUAGGGGUGAAUCGGUAAAAAACUGUGAGCGUAUCAUAUACAAAAGGGGCUUAUAGGCUCCGCCCGAUUUAGAAGAUUUACAUGAGACUUUCAAAAAUUGCAAAAAAUACAGGAGGCCUAAAUUGCCAAUUAAAAUGCUAUGUUGAAGGGCUAUGCCAAAGGUCCUAUGCAAAAAAGGAGUCGACCCCGGCUUGAUCUUGUGCUUGUAAACUAGCUCCCUCUUUUGUCAAGCGAUCUGUGAAGCCGUUGGAUGUCCAUUUCCCUGCAAAUAUGGUCAAUCUCAUCAAAGAUAGUGUUUAGGUACCAUGGCAGAGAAGCGGUCCUACUGGCCCAUGAGAGAACAUUUUUUGAAUCUCCUUCUAUGAUGAGGUGAAAGCCCCAAGAGCGGUUAAACUUUUUUAUCCGCAUUAUGUGCAUCAUUGAUACCAAGAUGCUCUAAGAAUGUAAGCAGUACAUUGCCUUGGUGGUCCCUAAAUACCCCCCCCAGCUCCGGUCGGGCCAGGAUUCCCAAAGGAGCAUCCAUCAAAAUUAAAUUUAAUGGUUCCUUGUGGUGGUGGUUGCCAAGAACUAGACCUUUUUGCCUGUUGUGGACAGUGAUGUAGUAUAUUUUCCAUGGGGGAAAGAACAAGUUUCUGGGUAUACCCGAGUAGACUUUGUGAUUUGAGGCCCAGAAAGAAACAAUGGAAAUGGUCUUGUGCAAGAGUGUUGAAACUUGUAGUUUUGAACCUUGGAAAAUUCUGUUGUUUCUUUCCAUCCAAAUGGUCCAUAAAGUUGCCUCUAAGGUAGCCUUCCAAAGGACUCUACCAGCCUUCGGUCAUUGAGAAUGUAGAUCAUAAGCGAUGAGUGCUUUGACUAUAGGGGGAGUGACAUUCUAUGCCGAAGAGUUGCAAAAUGUUUCCCCAAAAUUCAGAGGAGAAGUCACAGUGUAUAAAUAAGUGGGGAUUAGACUCUUCCUCAUGUUGGCAUGAUGCGCAUCCAUUAGGGAUAGGAAUCCCUCUCUUUUGGAGUUGGUCCGUAGUGAGGGCUCUGUGAGAGAAAGCAAGCCAGUUGAAUGUUUGGACCUUAGGUGGGGCGAUGGAAGAUCAUACUUUCGCUGCCACCGAGAUGGGAUUAUGCGGAAAGGUGGGAGGUUUAGAAAGGACAAUCGAGAACGUACCUGAUGGAGUGGGUGUCCAGACCAUAGUGUCUCUCCCUUGGUUAGGAAUAAAGAGAGAGUGAAGACCUGUAAUGAGCAAUUGAACUUGGUUGAUCUCCUCUUUUGUUAGGUUCCUCCGAAAGGAUGGGUUCCAGACUCUUCGCUCUCCUGUUAGGACCAAUUCCUCGGCCACUGUUGAAUCCUUGUUAGUGGUCAGCGAGUACAGGGCAGGGAAAACAUCCCAUAGAGGUGAAGAGCCUAUCCAUAAGUCUGACCAGAAUCUCACUCGGGAACCUUCUAUGGGGUGAAGUCUAACGUAUUUUUUGAAGUGAGACAAGACCGAAGAGAAAGAUUUCCAUGCUCUUGAGGCAUUAUGUCUCUGGCUUCUAUCUGGCACCCAAACUCCAUUAGGUAUCCUGUAUUUGUUUCUUAGGACUUGAGCUCAAAGAGAGUCCGACUGGGUUGCUAGACGACGCCACCACUUGCCUAAUAGGGCGAGGUUAUGUUUUCUGAGUAUCCUGAUUCCUAGACCUCCCUGAUUUUUUGGAAGACAAAUGUUAUCCCAAGCAACAAGGUGGAAUUUUGUCUUCUCAGCUUGUCCCGACCAUAUGAAAUUUCUCAUGAGGUGGUCUAAACGGUUUACCACUUGAGCAGGCAUAUGAAAGAGGGACAUGAGGUAAACUGGGGAGUUAGAUAAGGUAGCUUUAAUCAGGGUCGACCUCCCUGCCAUAGAGAGGAGUCUACCUUUCCAACCUGCCAAGCGUCUGUCAACCCUAUCUAGGACUUGGGACCAUUGUCUUUUUUUGGGUUUGCUAAGUCCAAGGGGAAGACCUAAGUAGGUAGUAGGGAGAUACUCCACUUUACAUUCCCAGUUUGGAAUAAGCGCUCUAAUCUCUACAUUUGAAAUUGCUACUCCCAUCAUUUUUUAUUUUUCCAUGUUGACUUUGAAGCCUGUUGCUUUGGAAGCAUUUGAGGAAAAGAUUAAAUGAAUCCACUUCAUUUGAAGUAGCGUCCAAGAACACCAAAUUGUCAUCCGCAUACUGCAGAUGGGACACUGUUGGGCCGUUUCUACUGCUCCUGAAGCCGGAGAGCAGUCAUGCCUGGAACACCCGGGAAGUAGAACGACUAAAAGCUUCCGCAGCUAUUGCGAACAGGAAGGGAGAGAGAGGGUCACACUGACGGAGAUUCCUAGAGGAUGAGAAGAAUCCUUUCGGGAUUCCAUUUAUUUGGAUUGAGAAAUGAGGGUGUGAGUAGCACCCUCUCAUCCACAUCCUCCAACGGUUUCGGAAACCCAUUCUGGUCAUAGUCUUCUCUAGGAUUGACCAGUCGACAUGGUCAUAAGCGUUUUCCCAGUCAAUUUUGAAAAUGAGGCCAGGCUUUUUGUCUAGAUGUCUUGUAUGGAUGCAUUCAUGGCCACUAAAGCCCCGUCAAGAAUCUGUCUAUCUUUGAUGACUGCAGUUUGGGAAGGAGAAAUGAUGGAGGGGAGGACUUGUUGAAGCCUAGAGGCUAGGACUUUGGCAAGAAUUUUGUAGGUAGAGUUCAAAAGACAUAGAAUAAUAGAAUUAUAAAAUUAUAGAUUAUGGAAAACAAACUACGAAUGUUAUGAAAUGAAAUUUGAACUUGAGGAACUUAAGAAUAUUGUUACCUGAAUCAAUUGUGGUCUUUUGCCUCAUCUCCAUUGGACUUCCAAAUGACUUUAAUGCGCACUUGUCACUUAUCAACUCAUCAGCACAUAUAACAUCUUGGAUAUUCGGAUUAGGGACUAGUACAUCUACAUAACUUAUUAAAUAUAGUCAUAAUUGUAUCAUUUGUGUAUAUCCCUAUUAACAUAAAAAAAGCUGGGUUCAAAAAAUAACCAGCUUCAUGCAAUGAUCGAUGUUGUUGCGUAUUCCACUUCUCAUCAAUAAUCUCCCAAAUAGGCUCAUUGUGGCUCACAUCAUCAUCUAAAUUUUGGGCUAUCUCUCUAUUGUAUCUCUCCAUAGCCUCAUAUAUGUAGCCCAUAGAAGCUUUGUCACUAUCAACGAUUGGAAGGACUUUGACAAGAGGAAAAAAUACCUUAAGAGCACCUGAUCAUUGGACCACCUCCAUGCUCUCCAACUCAUCUGAGGUGAACAUAUGCCUCAACUGGACUCUCAUUGAAUGUAUGUCUAAGUACCAGGUCGCAAAUCUCGUGACCCCAGGCCUCACAAUCCCUUUCUUCUUUGUAAAUCUAUGUAUCAUGCUGAGGGUGAGAGUGUGGCUAUAAAUGAAAUUCGUAACUGACUUUGCCUUCACUUCACUUGAAAUUUCGCUCAGACCACCAAGAGCUUCAAGCAUGAGGUCUAUACAAUGUGCUGUGCAUGGUGUCCAAACGAUUCUAGAGUAAGCUAUGCCCAACAAAUUAGCAGCAACAACAUUAGGAGCAGCAUUGUCUGUGAUAACCUGUAUAGCAUGAUGUUCCCCAACCUCCUUGACUCCCUUCUCCAUAAUUCUGAAUAUGUAAUGGGCAUCAUGGCUAUAAUCAGAGCCAUCAAUAGACCUAAAAAACAGUCCCUAAAGGACAAUUCACAAGCAAAUUCAUUUGGCUUCUUCUCCUCCUAUCACUCCAAGUAUCGAUCAUGAGAGAGGCUCCAUACUGAGCCCAUGCAUCCUUCUUAACAUCAACAAGCUCCUUUGUGAUACUCACUUCUUUUUUAAAAAAAAGACUUCGAAAGCCCUAUGCGUUGGGGGUUUCAUCCCUGGCCCAAAUUCACCAAUUGCCUCUACGGGUCGAUCCUGCUUAGACGAGCAGUAUUGAAAGAGAAAACCCAAGCAUGCUCUCUCCAUUGAGUUCUCUAAGAAAAUCCAAAAUCUGUUUCUCUCGAGGCCACAAUAACAACCAAACCAAAUGCGUAAAACAUCUAGACCAAUCAAACCUCUAUGGCCCCAAAAAUCAGGGAGUAUAAAGAAGCAAGAGAGAAACAUAAGUGGUAUUGAGAGAAAGAAAAGAGUGUGUGACUUGGUAAGAAGGUUGUUCUUAGCUUCGGGCUUUCGUCCCUUUAUCCAUCAUAAAUUUGGUUCAUUUGGCGUUAACCAACGAACACAAGAUGUGUUUCCGUGAAAACUUGGAAAAGCAUGGGGAGAGAGAGAGAGAGAGAGAGAGAGAGAGAGAGAGAGAGAGA